AAACCAUGAUGAGGGCAAUCUCGCUGGUACGACUUGAAUCUCACCCAAGCAGCUUUGAACGCUUCAGUUGGUUCCUGAGAGAAUGUCGAAAUUUUCGUCCUCAACUC
rnacentral:snoRNA from 1 species